CGCAGGCAGCGGUCAGGGGAGGUGAAGCCCUGUCAUUUACCAACUACACUGGCCUCGCUGCUCUUCCAAUCAUAUCAUAGGUUACAACAUAUACAGGCGUUAUAUUCAUUUCUACCGAAGGUUUAUCAUAGUACACUAAAUGCUCACGUAAAAUUGGAUUGCGUCGGAGAGAAAACGAUUGUGGGGAAAAAGCACGGUAACUUUGGAAAGGACUGAAGGGAAGGAUGGACAACUCAAAAGCGCAAAUGAGCCUGACCUCCCAGGACAUGUCGAGCCGUAGAGGACUGAGCCUCAGCCCACAGGUCCAGGUCCAGCUGUUUAUCCUGCUCCAGUAUCAGACCCUGGUCCACCACUGCAAGGCCAUGGUCCCCAGAGCAGUUAACCAGGCCAACCUUAAAAACACACCAGGAGCACCUGACUAUGUUUCAAACCCCUCCGUCCCUGACUCCAAUGCUGGCACACCGUCCAACCAGAACCUCUGUACGACAAGAAGAACCAAUCAGACUCCAGAACAUUGGGAUACUAACCCAAUGAGAGGACAGAUCCAGCUAAUUAUACUCCAGAAUUCUGAGACCCCAACCAACCAGAACCUCUGUAGGACAUCAUCAGCCAAUCUCUGAUGUACUCUGGACAAUGGAAUAUCCAACCUGAGACUGCACAAUUCAGCUUUGGCCCUGAUGGACUCAAAGCAAGCUGAGGACAGCCAUACCAUAACAAAAUCCAUUGGCUAGAAAGCCAUGAUGAUGACUUCACAUCAAUGUCUGGGGUUGAUCAUAGACUGCUGAUAUAGCUGGACGGAGUGAUACUGUACUGUCACAACGUGGCCCUUUUGGGUGUAUAUCGUGGCUACCCCCCUCUCUCACUCUCUCUCCCACCAUAAGUUUUACAACGGUCAUAAAUUCUUGGGAGAAACUCUCUUCGCUGCCAUGGAGUAUUGAGGGAUAGAGCCUAUGGAGAACAAAUACAUUCUUGUUGCCAAAACUCCUAAUCCCCAAAAUUUGAGAAUUAAACAAUAUUUAUAGUUUUGAGAAUGUGGGAAUGGUCCAUGGACACUUAAGGGACAGUCAUGUCGAGUUUGUUUCAUUUGGUGAUCUCAUGAGGGACAGGAAACACACGUUACUGUGUCUUUGGUUGCGUAAACUUCUCAAUUAUGGGGUUUGCAUCUGAUGGUUGUAUAAAAUAUAUGAGUGAAUAUGAAACAAUUUGUGAGAAGAUGUAAUGUGAUGUUGGCCUUCUAAAUGAGAUACUUGUUUAGAUAUAAAGUUUUAACUGGUCAGUGGCCACACCCCUUGAGCUCAGCCAUCACAUCAUGCGUCAUGGCCCCUUCAUGGGUAUAAAAUCACUCAUGACAAAAUGUACAUUUUAUGCCAAAGAGACCCAAAGUAAGCCGGACGUCUCAAAUGGUUAAGAAAUCUACAAACUAGAGUAAAAAAUGCAGGAACGGGAGUUCCCACUUUGAAAUGGCUAUUACUACUCCAAACCAAAACAUGACAGAUGACGCUGGUGUGUAGAGGAGUUUGAACCAGAGACCGGAAAACAUGGAAGCUGUCGCUACAUGUUGAAAUGGUUGGCAACUCUACCAAAGGACAAGACCAGAGAACGUGGAGAUCAUUCCCACGUUGAAAUGGCUAAGAAAUCUACAAACUAAAGAACAAUUAUUCAGGCUGCAACUGUUUAAAUACUUUAGUCUGAUAAACACAUCCGAUCUAAGAACAUUUCCGAAACAACCUAAAACUCCGACAGAAUUUGAUCAAACUGAACAAACUGACUAUCCAGCAGAUGGCCUGGCAAUCGCAGACAACCAAGACAUACACUUGUAAAUAUGUAAAUUGCAAUUUAUUUUUGAAUGAGCGGUUGUUCAUGUUCAAAGUAUUAGCAAUUUCUAGGAGUGUAGUUAUCAGCUCUGAGUCUCCCGCUCUUGAGCUGUCCCCACCCCUUUCCUUUGUCUACCAAGCCAUCAUUGGCUUAGCCCACUAGGGGCUUUUCUACCAUGUCAGUAACCAAUGUAUGACCUAUUGUGUUUGUGUUUAUGUAAUUCUGUGAUUGAUUACAUUAGUUAGUAAAUCAAUAAUUAAGCCAAUUUGUAUAUCGCUGAUUCAUGAUCUAUCUUAGGGUUCGUGCAGAUAUCCAAGGGUUUGCUACGUUCAGUAAUGAGACUGAUGAGGUAAUAAUACAUGAAUAAGUGACUGUAAUCAAUAAGAUAUGACAAUAUUGGAAGAGUUCA
ensembl:lncRNA